AUUGAACGCUGGCGGCAGGCUUAACACAUGCAAGUCGAGCGGGGGAAGGUAGCUUGCUACCGGACCUAGCGGCGGACGGGUGAGUAAUGCUUAGGAAUCUGCCUAUUAGUGGGGGACAACAUCUCGAAAGGGAUGCUAAUACCGCAUACGUCCUACGGGAGAAAGCAGGGGAUCUUCGGACCUUGCGCUAAUAGAUGAGCCUAAGUCGGAUUAGCUAGUUGGUGGGGUAAAGGCCUACCAAGGCGACGAUCUGUAGCGGGUCUGAGAGGAUGAUCCGCCACACUGGGACUGCGACACGGCCCAGACUCCUACGGGAGGCAGCAGUGGGGAAUAUUGGACAAUGGGGUGAGCCCUGAUCCAGCCAUGCCGCGUGUGUGAAGAAGGCCUUAUGGUUGUAAAGCACUUUAAGCGAGGAGGAGGCUACUUUAGUUAAUACCUAGAGAUAGUGGACGUUACUCGCAGAAUAAGCACCGGCUAACUCUGUGCCAGCAGCCGCAGUAA
rnacentral:rRNA from 1 species